AACGCACAUUGCGCCCGCCGGUAUUCCGGAGGGCAUGCCUGUUCGAGCGUCACAAAAAACCCCUCGGGCUUUCCGCCCGGUGUUGGAGGUCCGCCUAGCUAGUCUGGGCGGCCUCUGAAAGCUAGCGGCGUCGUCGCCAGCCGGUCUUUGCGAGGUAAACUAAUCCGCUCAUGACCGCUGGUGCCCGGCUGCCUUGUUUAUUAUAGAAAUGACCUCGGAUCAGGUAGGGCUACCCGCUGAACUUAA
rnacentral:misc_RNA from 1 species